UGUGAGUGCAAACACCUGUAAGCAUGCUAGGCCUUUCAAUCCAAAUACAUCCUUGUUGCUGCCACUGUGGCUCAUGUUGCAUGAACAAGCUAGCAUGUAAACAGUCCUGUUGUGUUGAUGGAGGUUCAUUUCGAAGGUGGUCGCACCGCUAAAUGUUUAAAAUGUUUCUACGCGAGGGAGAAAUUUGCGUUCAUCCCGAAUCUGUAAGACUGAAGAACAGAAAGAAGAGGAGUAAUUUAUGGAAAACACUGCAGCAUUCGAGUUCUCGGUUUCCUGUUGGUUCUGUUAGCAGCAAUUCUCUGCUUCACUGGGGAUUUUUGUGUCUGAGAUCUUUGCUUCACUUCAACAAGAGUCCCUUGAGGCGAUAAUAAAGCCUAGCGGAUAAGGCUGUAAACCCACACGGAUGUGCUACAAAACACCCAUACAUCAUAUUUCAAAAUCACAACGCUGAGUCAUGUAACAAUAGUAUUGUUAUGUAGUGUUUGUUUCAACACGGACUUGUUAGAGUGUGGCACCUAUGAACAGCAGCUGGACAGAGUUGUUAUACUAGGUUGUGAACCAGUGACGGAUUUAAAUAAACAGUGUAAGCAAACUGGAAUAUGCUUUAAUCGUCCAUUCUGUGUCGGGUAGAGACAGGGCAGAAUGAAACAUGGUGGCAGCGGAAACUUAAAGAGGACGGACAGAAAAACGGGCUUCUACUGUGCAGCUAACUAGCUAACGUUAGCGGAGCGGCUAACAAGAAUUUCGCGGGUGUUGAAGAGGACGCUCCAGUCAUUCGGCAGUGAAAAAUGGAAGGUUUGAAACCUCCACCAUCAUUGUGUUUGGACACCGGCAACAUAGCGAAGUCUUGGAAAUCAUGGAAGGAGGAGUUUACACUCUACAUGGAUCUUUCCCUGUCUGAGGCAGCAGAGGAUGUGAAAGUGAAACUGUUCUACUACCUGAUCGGAGAGACCAGUAGGAAACUUUGUGAAACUGUGAUGAGCGAUGUCACUUCUUCCAGGAGGAAACUCAGUGACCUGAUUGGAAAAUUUCAUGAACAUUGCAACCCUAAGGUAAAU